rnacentral:tRNA from 1 species
AGCUCAGUGGGUAGAGUGUCUGCCUUGCAUGCACAAGGCCCUGGGUUCAAUCCCCAG